rnacentral:rRNA from 1 species
UACGAAGGGGGCUAGCGUUGCUCGGAAUCACUGGGCGUAAAGCGCACGUAGGCGGCUUUGCAAGUUAGAGGUGAAAGCCCGGGGCUCAACCCCGGAAUUGCCUUUAAAACUGCAUCGCUAGAAUUGUGGAGAGGUAAGUGGAAUUCCGAGUGUAGAGGUGAAAUUCGUAGAUAUUCGGAAGAACACCAGUGGCGAAGGCGACUUACUGGACACAUAUUGACGCUGAGGUGCGAAAGCGUGGGGAGCAAACAGG